rnacentral:snRNA from 1 species
UAGUAUCCAUUCUUAUCAGUUUAAUAUCUGAUACAUCUUCUAUAUGAGGACUAUAUAUUACAUUGAUUUUUAGAACAGGGAGACGGAAGAGGGGCUUGCUCCGACCACUCCACUUUUAGGGGCAGUCAUGGGCUGGAG